rnacentral:rRNA from 1 species
UGAGGAAUAUUGGUCAAUGGGCGAGAGCCUGAACCAGCCAAGUAGCGUGCAGGAUGACGGCCCUAUGGGUUGUAAACUGCUUUUAUGUGGGGAUAAAGUGCGUGACGUGUCAUGCAUUGCAGGUACCACAUGAAUAAGGACCGGCUAAUUCCGUGCCAGCAGCCGCGGUAAUACGGAAGGUCCGGGCGUUAUCCGGAUUUAUUGGGUUUAAAGGGAGCGUAGGGUGUCUAUUAAGCGUGUUGUGAAAUAUACCGGCUCAACCGGUGGCUUGCAGCGCGAACUGGUCGACUUGAGUAUGCAGGAAGUAGGCGGAAUUCAUGGUGUAGCGGUGAAAUGCUUAGAUAUCAUGACGAACUCCGAUUGCGCAGGCAGCUUACUGUAGCAUAACUGACGCUGAUGCUCGAAAGUGCGGGUAUCAAACAGG